rnacentral:rRNA from 1 species
UAGGAGGCAGCAGUGAGGAAUGUUGGGCAAUGGGCGCAAGCCUGACCCAGCAACGCCGCGUGAGGGAAGAAGGUCUUCGGAUUGUAAACCUCUGUCCUAUGGGACGAAAAAAAUGACGGUACCAUAGGAGGAAGCUCCGGCUAACUACGUGCCAGCAGCCGCGGUAAUACGUAGGGAGCGAGCGUUGUCCGGAAUUACUGGGCGUAAAGGGUGCGUAGGUGGCCUAGCAAGUCAGAUGUGAAAUCCCCGGGCUUAACUCGGGGGGUGCAUUUGAAACUGCUUGGCUUGAGUGCAGGAGAGGAAAGCGGAAUUCCUAGUGUAGCGGUGAAAUGCGUAGAUAUUAGGAGGAACACCAGUGGCGAAGGCGGCUUUCUGGGCUGUAACUGACACUGAGGCACGAAAGCGUGGGGAGCAAACAGGAUUAGAUACCCGGGUAGUCCU